rnacentral:rRNA from 1 species
GAUGAACGCUGGCGGCGCGCCUAACACAUGCAAGUCGAACGGACUCUGAACUUAUUUUUAAUAAGGCGCAGUACUGAACGAGAGCGGACAUAUAAUUUUUCGGGCGAAUUUUGCCAUUCCGAUGUAACCAUCGGACGGCUGAGUUCCGAAAAAUUACAUAUGUCUGCUAAACGUUCAGUCUCAAGCAAGAGUUAGUGGCGGACGGGUGAGUAACACGUUAGUACCUGCCCUUAGUGGGGAAUAACUCGGCGAAAGUCGAGCUAAUACCGCAUGAGACCAUUUAUGGUGAAAGCCUUCGGGCGCUAAAGGAGGGGCUUACGUUAGAUUAGCUUGUUGGUAGUGUAAUAGACUACCAAGGCGAUGAUCUAUAGCUGGUUCGAGAGGAUGACCAGCCACACUGGGACUGAGAUACGGCCCAGACUCCUACGGGAGGCAGCAGUGAGGAAUCUUCCGCAAUGGACGAAGUCUGACGGAGCAACGCCGCGUGCAGGA